GAUGAAGAACGUAGCGAAAUGCGAUACGUAAUGUGAAUUGCAGAAUUCAGUGAAUCAUCGAGUCUUUGAACGCACAUUGCGCCCCCUGGUAUUCCGGAGGGCAUGCCUGUUCGAGCGUCAUUUCGACCCUCAAGCAUUGCUUGGUGUUGGGGCACCGCCUGUAAAAGGGCGGGCCCUGAAAUCUAGUGGCGAGCUCGCCAGGACCCCGAGCGUAGUAAUUAUAUUUCGUUCUGGAAGGCCCUGGCGGUGCCCUGCCGUUAAACCCCCAACUUCUGAAAAUUUGACCUCGGAUCAGGUAGGAAUACCCGCUGAACUUAAGCAUAUCAAUAAGCGGAGGA
rnacentral:misc_RNA from 1 species